GGGAGAGGUGCCAAGAUGGCGGCUUGAACAGACACUUUUUUUUUACCGAGCUCCGUAUCUAUCUUCAGGAAGAUUGUGAAAAGUUUAGUCAUUACUAUUUUUAUUUGUUCAAGAUAUAAGACCUUUCCUGUGACUGGAAUAGUAAUUGGAUAAUUUUUUUCUGCAUGUCCAUGCAAAGUCGUGAAGAAGUUAGCAGUACUAUUGCUAAUCAACAAGAGAGAAACGUGCUUAUAGACAACUGCCAUAACUACUCUUGGCCUAUUGAUAAUAUCAUGCUUUCGAAUGCUGUUGAAGAUGACAAUUUCCCCUCUUUACCGGUUACUCCGUGCAAACCUCCACCCUCCAAAAAACCCAACAUGAACUCUGACAUCGUGGCUACCCUCUCAUCAACUCCAGGUGUGACGCCAUUGAGAAAAUGGUAGGCGCGAACACCAUGGUUAUCGAAAGCUUGAAAAAGACUGGAGUUUGCAUGUGGUGAUAUCAAGGAUGUGAAAACGAGAGUGGCAAAAGUUGAAAAAAGUGUGGAAAGGAAUAACAAUGUCUACCAUAGACGUCUCACUGAUCUGGAAUAAUACACAAGAAGAUGGAACCUGAGACUCUACAGCUUGCCAGAGGUGGAGAAUGAAGAUGUGAGAGGAGAGGCUAUCCGUAUCUGCCAAGAAGUUUUGCCUGCAGAGAAGAACAAAGUUGGUGAUACCAUUGACGUUGUGCAUCGCCUCGGCAAGAAGCAACAGCAAAACGAUUCAAGACCUAGGGGUAUCAUCAUCCUCUUCACUGCCAGAUUCUACAGGGAUGCUGUCUGGAAAGCUACUAGGAAGAACGCCUUCCUUCAGAGCCAUGGUCUGCGUUUCGCCCAUCAUCUCAGCCCGGAGGGCAUAGAAAGAAGGAACAAGUUGUGGCCAACGAUCAAGAUAGCAUGAAAUGAGGGGAAGGCUGCUUACUUCGUCGGAGGACGAGGCUUCAUCAACGGUUCAGAAAUCCAUAUUCUUCCCUAAAAUCUCACCAGAAGGAACAGGUUGAUGGUUUCAGCCAUGGUAUUCUCAUUUUCCUUAUGUUGUUUACCUAACAAGCGUCAGGUGACUGUUUUUCAGGAAUACUCAGGUAUUUCAAUUUAUUAGUUUGUUCUUGUAUGACCAGAAGACAUAUUUUGUUUACAAACUUACGAAGAAGAUUGAAAGCUGUAUUUAUUUUUUUAUGUAUACCGUAACUAAGAUACUGUUUUAAAGGGCAUACAGGUCUGCUCUGACUUUACACGGCUAUUGCUCUAUUUAGUAUUUAAUACUUAUUUCCAAAAAAGGUCUUAGGAACGGUGAAACAUUUUUUUAUUCAAUUAUUUUAUGAUCAGUUUUCAUAUGCACUUAACAUAGUAGGUACCCUUUUAUUUAAAUUAUUAUUUGUUUUAUUUCUCAGAAUAGUUCCUGAUUUACACCAGAGGGUUUUUAGUCUCUCUUACUACAAGAACCCUUGGUUUGGUCUUGAACAUAAUUUUCAUUUGAGUUGAAUUUCAAAGCCAGAUAACGUCUAGCUCAAAGGUUAUGGAAUAAGCUAUUUUCACUUUAAAUUGACUUAAAUGGUGCAGAUCUCGGUUCCUUAUCGUUUACGUUCACUGCUCCUACGUCUUUGACUCAUCCUACUACAGUUUAUACUUUUAUAUAAUCUUUGUUGUUUUGUCUUUGUCUAUAGUUUCUCUUAAUGCUAGGGGGUUAUGAAACAAUGUGAAGUGCAAGGCCUUAUUUUUAUUUGCUAAACAAUUUCAAACAGAUUUUUGCUUUUUUCAAGAGUCUCACUCAAUUUCGGCUGAUACCAACUUCUGGAGGUCACAGUGAGGCAACGAUAUUUGGCUCUCCCAUGGAUCUGAACGCUCCGCCGGUGUCACUACAAUGAAAAAUACCUUUGGCGGACACCUACACCACCCGAUGUUACAGGAAGGCCAUAAAGAUCAUCAAGGACAACAACCACCCGAGCCACUGCCUGUUCACCCCGCUAUCAUCCAGAAGGCGAGGUCAGUACAGGUGCAUCAAAGCUGGGACCGAGAGACUGAAAAACAGCUUCUAUCUCAAGGCCAUCAGGAUGUUUAACAGCCACCACUAACAUUGAGUGGCUGCUGCCAACACACUGACUCAACUCCAGCCACUUUAAUAAUGCGAAUUGAUGGGAAAUGAUGUCAAAUAUAUCACUAGCCACUUUAAACAAUGCUACCUAAUAUAAUGUUUACAUACCCUACAUUAUUCAUCUCAUAUGUAUACGUAUAUACUGUACUCUAUAUCAUCUACUUCUGCAUCUUUAUGUAAUACAUGUAUCACUAGCCACUUUAACUAUGCCACUUUGUUUACAUACUCAUCUCAUAUGUAUAUACCGUACUCGAUACCAUCUACUGUAUCUUGCCUAUGCCGCUCUGUACCAUCACUCAUUCAUAUAUCUUUAUGUACAUAUUCUUUAUCCCCUUACACUUGUGUGUAUAAGACAGUAGUUAUGGAAUUGUUAGUUAGAUUACUUGUUGGUUAUUACUGCAUUGUCGGAACUAGAAGCACAAGCAUUUCGCUACACUCGCAUUAACAUCUCCUAACCAUGUGUAUGUGAUAAAUAAAAUUUGAUUUGAUAUAUGGAGAGAGAGGUUUCCGGCCAAAAGAUCAUUCACUUGGAGUAACAAAACAGGUUCCAGACAAUCCAGA
ensembl:lncRNA